GCCAAUCACCGCCGAAGCCAAGCCGAAGCCUCCUUCGGGUUCGUCCGGAGAGGCGCCCGAGCGGAAAACCUUUGGGCCGUUUCCGAGGCCGAGAUGUCGACUAAGAAUUUCCGCGUCAGCGACGGAGACUGGAUCUGUCCCGACAAGAAAUGUGGUAAUGUUAAUUUUGCUAGAAGAACCAGCUGUAACAGAUGUGGUCGAGAAAAAACUACAGAAGCUAAAAUGAUGAAAGCUGGAGGGACUGAGAUAGGGAAGACGCUUGCUGAAAAGAGCCGUGGUCUCUUCAGUGCUAAUGACUGGCAGUGUAAAACAUGUGGUAAUGUUAAUUGGGCUCGGAGAUCAGAAUGCAAUAUGUGCAACACUCCAAAGUAUGCCAAACUGGAAGAAAGAACAGGAUAUGGUGGGGGCUUCAAUGAAAGGGAGAAUGUUGAAUAUAUAGAACGUGAAGAGUCAGAUGGGGAAUAUGAUGAGUUUGGUCGCAAAAAGAAAAAAUAUAGAGGGAAACCUGUUGGUCCUGCGUCUAUCUUAAAGGAAGUUGAAGAUAAGGAAUCUGAAGGGGAAGAAGAGGAGGAUGAGGAUGGAGAUCUGUCUAAGUAUAAAUUAGAUGAGGAUGAAGACGAGGAUGAUGCUGAUCUCUCAAAAUAUGAUCUUGAUGGUGGUGAAGAAGAAGAUUCUGCCAAUAAGAAGAAAUCUUCCACUGCUAGCCGAAGUCGCUCCAAGUCUCGAUCUUCUCCUUCACAAUCUUCAUCUCGCUCAUCCUCCCAUUCAAGCUCAAGGUCUAGGUCCAGGUCCAGAAGCUCUUCCAGUUCAAGGUCACGGUCUCAUUCCACUUCCAGAGAACGUUCUAGAUCUCGUGGGUCGAAAUCAAGAUCCAGCUCCAGGUCUGUCAGGGGUUCUCCAACCCCAAGGAAAAGAUCUUACUCAAGCUCUCAUUCAUCCUCCUCCACUGAGAGAAGCAGAAAGAGAAGCCGAUCUAGAUCUUCUUCUGGUGAUCGCAAAAAAAGGCGAACAGGAUCACGGUCACCUGAAAGGUUUGGGUUUUGUAGAAUAAGAAUGGUUGUUCUUUAAAUGCUGGCUUUGGAGGAAGAAGGAGCAGAAUAUUUUACGCUGCGUGUAUGUUGUGUUUGUGUAUGUGGAGAGAUAGCCAUUUUAUUCCGUCUAGCUGUGGCGAUAGAUAGAUAGAUAUUCUUGCUGCCUUUAAUUACCAGUCUUAAAGAUAAUCAUACACAUGCAAUGCAGAAAAUGUGUGAUUCUUAUAGCACUUUUGUGAAGUUGCAUUUUUUUAAAAAUGUAUAAACUCUUCUUAAUCGAAGAGUCUUAAUUAUUAUGUGAACUGUUCCAUAUUACUAAGAUGCAAAGAUGAAGUCCUAAUAAGUACAUUUCAAAUCCUAUUGCCUCUUCCUCUUUUUUUCAUUCCCUGUGACAUUCAUAGCACUAAAAACUUACUUGUUUGCAUGCUUUCUCCCAUUUUUUAUCUUUCAGAAACCGCAGGUCAUCCUCUGGAUCCUCUCAUUCUGGAUCUCGUACAAGUUCCAAAAAGAAAUAAUGUACAAAAUUCAAAUACACACACACACGCAAAAACAACAGUCCAUUGCAUGAGAUAAUAUUAAAAAGUUGAUGUUUUAUUUGGUCAGAAAUGGUACAUCCUGCUAAUAGAGAUGCAUGUUUAAUGGAAAACUGAAGCUAGUUUAACUCAUAAAACAUGUCAUGAAAUAUUUUAAGCCAUAAAUUGAUCCCGGAAAGGCAUUUUUUUUUUAAAAUUGGGCUUAAUCUAGAACAGGUAGUUUUAAUUUAGUCUAGUUUGAGAGUAUCAGCCAAGUACCUUCCUGAUCUGUUGCUCUGUCAUCAUGUAGAUUUCAAAAUCUAGUUUCUGAAAAAGUUUAGUUUAAUAUUUCUUUGUCAUCAUUUCACUAUUAGUAGGCAGGAACGUAUCUCCAUUUCAGAGUAGAAUAUUUCUUUAUAGGAACAACUCUUUUUAGUGGGUUUGUGAUUUCUAACUGAGAAGGAGCCUCGUAUAAAUUAUUUCCUGGAUAUUUUGCAAAAAUCCCAAAUCUUUCUGUAUAAAUUUCUGCAGAAUUUUAUAAUGUAUUACGUAAGGCAUGUGCUGUAUUUGAUUCCAUAGUCCUUCACUCUUUAUUGACUCAGCAAAUUACUAUGCUGUAGAUAAAAUAUGGAAAGAAAUAUAUUUCCUUCAGGCAAGGCAUCUAGGUAUCCUUGAUGGUACUCCUGCCACCAGAAGACAUUAAACUAGUGUCACUUGGUGAAAUCGCAGCAACAAUGAAGAAAACCCCUUGUGUAAAAUCAGUGAUUUUCGGGGAAAAUAGCUUUCAGAACUAGAAAUUAUUUGUGCUCUAGCAGUAGUCCAGUCCUAUACAGGCCUGUUUUGGCCAGAAUACCAUUUUUGGGAAACCACAAAGAACAACUUGAUGAAUCAACAUCUACAAACUAGCCAAAUUGGUAUGAUCUGGAGAAGAAGCAUUGUUCUUGAAAUGGUUUAUACAAAAGAAUAGAAAUCCUAAAACCUCUCAUCUGUUUCAACUAAUUCAUGGCUUAACAUGUUUCAUUUUCACUUUUUGUUUUACUGUCAAAUGUAUUUGUUAAGUACUGACCAUUCUUAAACUAAUUGGGGAAGAUAUGUUUGUUAUCUUCAGUCACAUCCAAGGUAAGUAUGUUAAGGGAAAUUAAUAAAUCUAAGGAAUAGGCUACGCCUUCAAUAUCUUGCAUUUUGGAAAACCUGCUUUGUAAAACAAACUGCUUGAUGACAAAUGGAGCAGAACUGCCAACAACUUCCCCCCCCCCCCCUUUCAUGGACAUCUUAAAGUUGAUGGGGGUGGGUGGGCUGAUCAAUGACAUAGCAAUAAGGCUUUGCUGUGUGAGUGUUUUGGAUAAAUUUUGCAGAAAAAUAUGCCUGUAAUCCUAUAUUGCUUCCUCUUAGGUGUCCUCUCUCUUGUGCUAAAUUGUAGCAUAGGUUGCACAAUACAGAUAGUCUUGUAACUGUGCCUCUCUGACUUUUUGAAAGUAUAAAAAUAUGUGAAA